UACGAAGGGGGCUAGCGUUGCUCGGAAUCACUGGGCGUAAAGGGCGCGUAGGCGGCCCCGAUAGUCAGGCGUGAAAUUCCUGGGCUCAACCUGGGGACUGCGCUUGAUACGUCGGGGCUGGAGUGCGGGAGAGGGUCGCGGAAUUCCCAGUGUAGAGGUGAAAUUCGUAGAUAUUGGGAAGAACACCGGUGGCGAAGGCGGCGACCUGGCCCGUUACUGACGCUGAGGCGCGACAGCGUGGGGAGCAAACAGG
rnacentral:rRNA from 1 species